rnacentral:rRNA from 1 species
GCAUAUCAAUAAGCGGAGGAAAAGAAACCAACCGGGAUUGCCCUAGUAACGGCGAGUGAAGCGGCAAGAGCUCAAAUUUGAAAGCUGGCCCCCUCGGGGUCCGCAUUGUAAUUUGCAGAGGAUGCUUCGGGAGCGGUCCCCAUCUAAGUGCCCUGGAACGGGCCGUCAUAGAGGGUGAGAAUCCCGUAUGGGAUGGGGUGCCCGCGCCCGUGUGAAGCUCCUUCGACGAGUCGAGUUGUUUGGGAAUGCAGCUCUAAUUGGGUGGUAAAUUUCAUCUAAAGCUAAAUAUUGGCCGGAGACCGAUAGCGCACAAGUAGAGUGAUCGAAAGAUGAAAAGCACUUUGAAAAGAGAGUUAAACAGCACGUGAAAUUGUUGAAAGGGAAGCGCUUGCGAUCAGACUCGCUCGCGGGGUUCAGCCGGCCUUCGGGCCGGUGUACUUCCCCGCGGGCGGGCCAGCGUCGGUUUGGGCGGCCGGUCAAAGGCCCCUGGAAUGUAACGCCUCUCGGGGCGUCUUAUAGCCAGGGGUGCCAUGCGGCCUGCCCGGACCGAGGAACGCGCUUCGGCUCGGACGCUGGCAUAAUGGUCGUAAGCGACCCGUCUUGAAACACGGACCAAGGAGUCUAACAUCUACGCGAGUGUUCGGGUGUCAAACCCGUGCGCGCAGUGAAAGCGAACGGAGGUGGGAACCCCUCGGGGUGCACCAUCGACCGAUCCUGAUGUCUUCGGAUGGAUUUGAGUAAGAGCGUAGCUGUUGGGACCCGAAAGAUGGUGAACUAUGCCUGAAUAGGGCGAAGCCAGAGGAAACUCUGGUGGAGGCUCGCAGCGGUUCUGACGUGCAAAUCGAUCGUCAAAUUUGGGUAUAGGGGCGAAAGACUAAUCGAACCAUCUAGUAGCUGGUUCCUGGCGAG